rnacentral:rRNA from 1 species
GACGUAGGGCGCGAGCGUUGUCCGGAUUUAUUGGGCGUAAAGAGCUCGUAGGCGGCUUGUCGCGUCGAAUGUGAAAACCCACGGCGUCAACAUGUGGGCUUGCAUUCGAUACGGGCAGGCUAGAGUUCGGUAGGGGAGACUGGAAUUCCUGGUGUAGCGGUGAAAUGCGCAGAUAUCAGGAGGAACACCGGUGGCGAAGGCGGGUCUCUGGGCCGAUACUGACGCUGAGGAGCGAAAGCGUGGGGAGCGAACAGG